ensembl:lncRNA
CUACCUUUCAACUACAAGGAACUCUUCGUUUUCCUGGCUUUUCAUCAUUAGCCCGAUGCUGUACGGGCUGGUUUUGUGUGUCAACUUGACACAAUCCGGAGUCAUCAGAGAGAAUGGAGCCUCAGUUGAGGAAAUGCCUCCAUGAGAUCCAGCUCUAAGGCAUUUUUUUCAAUUAGUGAUCAAUGGGGCCCAGCCCAUGGUGGGUGGUGCCCAAUCCAUGGUGGGUGGUGCCAACUCUGGGCUGGUGGUCCUGGGUUCCAUAAGAAAGCCGGUUGAGAAAGUAAGCAACACCUCUCCAUCGACUCUGCAUCAGUUCCUGCCUCCAGAUUCCUGCCCUAUUUGAGUUCUUGCACUGACUUCCUUCAAUGAUGAACAGCAAUAUGAAGUAUGAGGAACAGGCUUGGAGGAAAAGGAAAACAAUGGAUACAUCGCUAAGACAUACCGGGCUCAUUCAUUCUGCUUGAUACUUUCAAGUCUAUCAUCACCCUUAUUCUCUUCACUGAGCUUAGUAAGUGAUUUUCCUCAACUUUGAAAAGGCAUAAUUUCGAGUUUUGCAUUCUGCAAAAUCCAUGCAUCUCAGAAGAGAGCUGUUGGCCUUGGACAAAUUGAGUCAUUU